rnacentral:rRNA from 1 species
UACGGAGGGGGCUAGCGUUGUUCGGAAUUACUGGGCGUAAAGCGCGUGUAGGCGGGUUUUUAAGUCAGGGGUGAAAUGCCAAGGCUCAACCUUGGAACUGCCUUUGAUACUGGAGACCUUGAGUCCGGGAGAGGUGAGUGGAAUUGCGAGUGUAGAGGUGAAAUUCGUAGAUAUUCGCAAGAACACCAGUGGCGAAGGCGGCUCACUGGCCCGGAACUGACGCUGAGACGCGAAAGCGUGGGGAUCAAACAGG